rnacentral:rRNA from 1 species
GAUGAACGCUAGCUACAGGCUUAACACAUGCAAGUCGAGGGGCAGCAUGGUCUUAGCUUGCUAAGGCCGAUGGCGACCGGCGCACGGGUGAGUAACACGUAUCCAACCUGCCGUCUACUCUUGGACAGCCUUCUGAAAGGAAGAUUAAUACAAGAUGGCAUCAUGAGUCCACAUGUUCACAUGAUUAAAGGUAUUCCGGUAGACGAUGGGGAUGCGUUCCAUUAGAUAGUAGGCGGGGUAACGGCCCACCUAGUCUUCGAUGGAUAGGGGUUCUGAGAGGAAGGUCCCCCACAUUGGAACUGAGACACGGUCCAAACUCCUACGGGAGGCAGCAGUGAGGAAUAUUGGUCAAUGGGCGAGAGCCUGAACCAGCCAAGUAGCGUGAAGGAUGACUGCCCUAUGGGUUGUAAACUUCUUUUAUAAAGGAAUAAAGUCGGGUAUGGAUACCCGUUUGCAUGUACUUUAUGAAUAAGGAUCGGCUAACUCCGUGCCAGCAGCCGCGGUAAUACGGAGGAUCCGAGCGUUAUCCGGAUUUAUUGGGUUUAAAGGGAGUGUAGAUGGAUGUUUAAGUCAGUUGUGAAAGUUUGCGGCUCAACCGUAAAAUUGCAGUUGAUACUGGAUAUCUUGAGUGCAGUUGAGGCAGGCGGAAUUCGUGGUGUAGCGGUGAAAUGCUUAGAUAUCACGAAGAACUCCGAUUGCGAAGGCAGCCUGCUAAGCUGCAACUGACAUUGAGGCUCGAAAGUGUGGGUAUCAAACAGGAUUAGAUACCCUGGUAGUCCACACGGUAAACGAUGAAUACUCGCUGUUUACGAUAUACAGCAAGCGGCCAAGCGAAAGCGUUAAGUAUUCCACCUGGGGAGUACGCCGGCAACGGUGAAACUCAAAGGAAUUGACGGGGGCCCGCACAAGCGGAGGAACAUGUGGUUUAAUUCGAUGAUACGCGAGGAACCUUACCCGGGCUUAAAUUGCAGAUGAAUUACGGUGAAAGCCGUAAGCCGCAAGGCAUCUGUGAAGGUGCUGCAUGGUUGUCGUCAGCUCGUGCCGUGAGGUGUCGGCUUAAGUGCCAUAACGAGCGCAACCCUUGUUGUCAGUUACUAACAGGUUCCGCUGAGGACUCUGACAAGACUGCCAUCGUAAGAUGUGAGGAAGGUGGGGAUGACGUCAAAUCAGCACGGCCCUUACGUCCGGGGCUACACACGUGUUACAAUGGGGGGUACAGAGGGCCGCUACCACGCGAGUGGAUGCCAAUCCCAAAAACCUCUCUCAGUUCGGACUGGAGUCUGCAACCCGACUCCACGAAGCUGGAUUCGCUAGUAAUCGCGCAUCAGCCACGGCGCGGUGAAUACGUUCCCGGGCCU